rfam:Prunus persica cultivar Lovell chromosome G3, whole genome shotgun sequence.
UGGCGAUGAUUACAAAUUAUCCACGCUUCUGAGAGCAAUCUAUGAAGCAGAAUGUGAUAAUCAAUGGUUGAAUUUCUUGAUAUGAGCCA